AAGCCCGUGCAAUGGUGCGUUUACCCGAAAGGAAACGGCGUUUGUGUAAAACGCAGGACACCUAAAGCACGGGUUUUU
rnacentral:sRNA from 12 species